AUGGCGUCUUCUCAGGACGCUUGGUAUCUCUCGUUGUUAGGUUUAGCUGAAAACUUUCGGACAUCGAGCCCACCGAAUAUUAAAUCAUGUAUUCAGUGUCUUCAAGCUGUUUUCAAUUUUAAACCACCACCUCGGGUCGAAGCUCGUACUCAUCUACAACUUGGAAAUAUUCUUCUUACUCACACGAAAAAUAUCGAUUUGGCGCGAUCACAUCUAGAACAAGCGUGGCGUUUAAGUCAAAAUAUAAACACGUUUGAUGAUGUUAAAUUUGAAGCAGCAAGUGUAGUAGCUGAAUUGUACGAACAACAGCAACAGCCAAAUUUAAGUAAACCUAUAUUAAGAAAGGCCAUAGAGUUAUCUCAACAUAAUGUUUAUUGGCACUGUAGACUUAUAUUUCAAUUGGCGCAAAUACAUGCCUCUGAAAAAGAUUUCGUUGCAGCAAGUAGUUUGCUGGCCGUUGGUGUUGAUUAUUCGCAUAUUAGUAAUGCAAGUUAUACACGUGUAUUAUUUUUAUUAAGUCGAUGUAUGCUCCUAUUAAUAGACAAGAAAUUUACGGAAGUCCAUGCACUAUUAAAUUCGGCUGGUCAUCAUGUUGAAAAUUGGCAAGGAAGCCCACACCAAAAAGAAUACUUAAAAGUAUAUUAUUUGGUGCUCCAAGUUUGUCAUUUUCUUAUGGCUGGUCAGGUAAAUAGCGUGAAACCUUGUUUGAAACAACUGCAACAAAGUAUACAAACGAUCAUGUCUCCUAAUUGGCCAACAGAUGAUGUAGUUACGGGUUCUAAUAUAGGAGAUAUGUUCAUAUGGAUGCCAAAGGAUCAUUUAUAUGUUUUGGUUUAUCUUGUAACUGUUAUGCAUUCAAUGCAAGCUGGUUAUAUGGAUGAAGCACAAAAAUACACAAAUAAGGCUCUUACCCAAAUUGAAAAAUUAAAAAUCGUUGAUAAUAAGCCGAUACUCUCUGUCUUUCAACUCAUGCUAUUAGAACAUAUAGUUAUGUGCCGCCUUGUCAUGGGAAAUAAAAGUGUGGCACUUGCAGAAAUAGCUCAAGCAUGUCAACUUUGUAGGCGGCAACCAAGAUUAUUACAAGGCCAUCGGCCUCAACUGCAUGCUCUUUUGGGAUUAUAUGCGAUGUCUAUGAAUUGUAUGGAAGCUGCUGAGGCUCAGUUUACAGCUGCUCUUAGGACAUCCCAAGAACGAGAACUUUGGACGUUUGCAAAUUUAAAUUUGGCCAUAGUAUAUCUUAGAACAAAAAGAGAUGCAGAGUUGGGUGCAUUAAUGGAAAGAAUAAAUCCAGAGUCUUUACCAUCACAUUCGCAUUCCUUGAGAGCAGCAGCAUACUAUGUUCAAGGUCUCCAAGCUUUUUUUGGAGCUAGACAUAAUGAAGCCAAGAGAUAUCUUAGAGAAACAUUAAUAAUGGCAAGCUCAGAGGAUUUAAAUAGAUUAACUUCUUGUAGUCUCGUUUUGUUAGGACAUAUAUUUCUUUCAUUAGGAAAUAGCAGAGAAUCUAUGAAUAUGGUUACACCUGCCAUGCAACUUGCUUCCAAAAUACCAGAUGUACACGUACAACUAUGGGCUACUGCUAUCCUGAAAGAUUUGUAUAGAAUUUGUGGAGAUCCUAAUCGUGAAAGUGAGGCAUAUCAAAUGCAUUGUACAUUUUCUCAAACGCUCUUAAAGGAUCAUUUUCAAAGUACACAAAUGAGUGAACAUGCUCUUAUACAAUGGACAGAUGGUCCUAUACCUGUUUUGCCAAAUGACCCACCACCUUCCACAUCUCAAACAAUUCUUCAAUAAAAUUAAAAAAUACCAAUUUUGCUUAUUUACUUAAAGUAAAUGGUUGUUAAAUUGUGAAAGUAUAUAUAUCAGAUUUGCGUGACAGUGCCGUUGAAUGAUCACGCAAAAACGGGAAAAAAACUAAUAGUGCAAAACUUAAUACAUAAAAAGGUUAACAUGAUAACAUCAUACCAAAGUAAAGUAAGUCAAGAUAAUGACAAUGAUAGGAAAUGAUAAUAUUGAAGAUAAUCAAUAAUUGAUCAUAAUUGUGAUUACCAGAAUGACUGAUGAAUGUUCUCUGUAUUAGUUUUAUUCAAAAUGAGAUACAACUUAUUUUAUAUAAUGCUAAAAUGUACAGUGAAUUUUAACACUUCAAGAUAAAUAUUUUAAUAAAUUUGUAAUAGCACAGAGAGAAUUUUAUAAAAUAAGGGAGUAAUAUAUUAACUAACCUCAUUUGCAAUUAAUUUCAUUUUUUAUUAUAAAUUGAACCGAAGAACAUUUAUUUAAUUUUCAAACGCUUUUCUGAAAUUAUCUAUUUUGCAGCUUUGUCCACUACUAAAUAUGUGAUUUCAUCUUCAUUUUUUUCAGUCUGUAUUUUUUUUUUUUAACAUACCAUGUAUUUGAUACAUAUCAACAUUAUAAAAUUUUACAUGGUGUGAUCAAUAGUUGGCAAGAUGACAAUAAUGUAUUUUGUUGUAAUCUAUUCUGAUAUGUUUAUCAAAGUAGCCAUUAAAAAUAUAGGCUGUGGUGCAAAUGGAUGGUUAAGAUAUAGUCACCGAUGCAUUUUUAUAAAUUGGAACGUAGUUAUACAUGGUAUAACAGUACCUGCAAAAUAUUUUGUAAAAAAUGUUAUAGUACUUAUAGCAUAUAUUAAAUGCGUAUAAGCGCGCGUGUUUCCUGUGUGGUAGUUUUUGCUUGAUAUGAGUCCAUAUAUGUAUGUAGGGUAAAUAUUACUGCACAUAAUAUGAUAGAAAAUUGAUAUAUAUAUUCGAUUGAUAUAUAUAUAUAUAUAUAUAUAUAUAUAUGUAUGUAUGUAUAUAUAUAUAUAUGAUAUAUAUCGAUGUGCAAAUAUAAAUUUUUGGAUUAUAGUCAUUCUUUUUACUCAAAAAUUAAAUUAAAAUGUUUAAUCGAUAAUAAUUGCUUUAUAUUUAGAUCAAAUAUGCUAUAGUAUAGAAAUAUGCAAAUGAGUAUUAUAAUAGUACAAUAGAUUAAGGGAGUAGGUUAUUAGAGGCAAGAUUAUAAAUUAAAAAUAAACUUGAUCGAUGCUAAUACAAGCAAUACAUAAAAAACAUAGUAUAUGGGGCCUUAAUAGACUAUAAGAAGUGAUAAAUUUUGCCUAAAACUACUUACUCCAAUAAAUUAAAUGUUUUUCAUGUAUAUAUAUACUCGAAAUUACAAAGUUAUAUAUAAUAUGCUAUAUAAAAAAAAUAUGGUUGAAACCAUGAACUAGUAACAUUAUGUAAAAAUAUUUCUUUGUCUUAAUGUAAUUAAAAUGUAAACAAAUAA